rnacentral:rRNA from 1 species
CGCGGCCUAUCAGCUUGUUGGUGGGGUAACGGCCCACCAAGGCGUCGACGGGUAGCUGGUCUGAGAGGACGAUCAGCCACACUGGGACUGAGACACGGCCCAGACUCCUACGGGAGGCAGCAGUGGGGAAUCUUGCGCAAUGGGCGAAAGCCUGACGCAGCAACGCCGCGUGGGGGACGAAGGCUCUCGGGUUGUAAACCCCUUUCAGGAGGGACGAAAAUGACGGUACCUCCAGAAGAAGCCCCGGCCAACUACGUGCCAGCAGCCGCGGUAACACGUAGGGGGCAAGCGUUGUCCGGAUUUAUUGGGCGUAAAGAGCUCGUAGGCGGCUCGGUAAGUCGGGUGUGAAAUUUCGAGGCUCAACCUCGAAACGCCACUCGAUACUGCUGUGGCUAGAGUCCGGUAGGGGAGCGUGGAAUUCCUGGUGUAGCGGUGAAAUGCGCAGAUAUCAGGAGGAACACCAGCGGCGAAGGCGGCGCUCUGGGCCGGUACUGACGCUGAGGAGCGAAAGCGUGGGGAUCAAACAGGAUUAGAUACCCUGGUAGUCCACGCCGUAAACGUUGGGCACUAGGUGUGGGGCUCUAUCAACGGGUUCCGUGCCGUAGCUAACGCAUUAAGUGCCCCGCCUGGGGAGUACGG